rnacentral:lncRNA from 1 species
AGCUGGGUAACAGCUGGGCUUUGGGGACGUGCUCCAGGCUGGAGAGCAGCAGGAGGACCAGCCCGGGAGCCAGGGUGGGCAGCGAGGGAGACAGAUCCCAACCCGGGCCGGGGUAGCGGCAGUGGAACUGGUCUGGACUCGAGGCCCCAGGCUGUGUUCCAGGACGGCACCCUUGGCAUCUGCCCGAGCUGUGUGGUAAGGGCUCUCAGGUCCUGGUUCUGGGACAUCGUGUUUGGCCCUGGAGUUCAGAUGCUCUGAACAGGGACAGGGUGAGUCAGGGGGUACCUGGCCUAGGGCUUGUUGGCAGGGCGCUUGCCAGUGGACUCUGUCCUUUGGGGGGGAAGCCGAGGCCAAGAGAGGGGGAACUUCUGCCUCUGUCACCACACCUCUCCUUCCCUGCUGGGGCCACACUCCUCACCUCCUGCCAUUGCCAUGGUGACCCCAAGAGUCACUGCUGUCACCUCCCAUCUCCUGCCCAGGGCCCUCCCAGGACUGCGUGAACUUUAGUCACUUAGUGACAGACCGAGU